ACCGGCCACAUUGGGACUGAGAUACGGCCCAGACUCCUACGGGAGGCAGCAGUGGGGAAUAUUGCACAAUGGGCGCAAGCCUGAUGCAGCGACGCCGCGUGAGGGAUGGAGGCCUUCGGGUUGUAAACCUCUUUUAUCGGGGAGCAAGCGAGAGUGAGUUUACCCGUUGAAUAAGCACCGGCUAACUACGUGCCAGCAGCCGCGGUAAUACGUAGGGUGCAAGCGUUAUCCGGAAUUAUUGGGCGUAAAGGGCUCGUAGGCGGUUCGUCGCGUCCGGUGUGAAAGUCCAUCGCUUAACGGUGGAUCCGCGCCGGGUACGGGCGGGCUUGAGUGCGGUAGGGGAGACUGGAAUUCCCGGUGUAACGGUGGAAUGUGUAGAUAUCGGGAAGAACACCAAUGGCGAAGGCAGGUCUCUGGGCCGUUACUGACGCUGAGGAGCGAAAGCGUGGGGAGCGAACAGGAUUAGAUACCCUGGUAGUCCACGCCGUAAACGGUGGAUGCUGGAUGUGGGGCCCGUUCCACGGGUUCCGUGUCGGAGCUAACGCGUUAAGCAUCCCGCCUGGGGAGUACGGCCGCAAGGCUAAAACUCAAAGAAAUUGACGGGGGCCCGCACAAGCGGCGGAGCAUGCGGAUUAAUUCGAUGCAACGCGAAGAACCUUACCUGGGCUUGACAUGUUCCCGACGGUCGUAGAGAUACGGCUUCCCUUCGGGGCGGGUUCACAGGUGGUGCAUGGUCGUCGUCAGCUCGUGUCGUGAGAUGUUGGGUUAAGUCCCGCAACGAGCGCAACCCUCGCCCCGUGUUGCCAGCGGAUUAUGCCGGGAACUCACGGGGGACCGCCGGGGUUAACUCGGAGGAAGGUGGGGAUGACGUCAGAUCAUCAUGCCCCUUACGUCCAGGGCUUCACGCAUGCUACAAUGGCCGGUACAACGGGAUGCGACGCGGCGACGCGGAGCGGAUCCCUGAAAACCGGUCUCAGUUCGGAUCGCAGUCUGCAACUCGACUGCGUGAAGGCGGAGUCGCUAGUAAUCGCGAAUCAGCAACGUCGCGGUGAAUGCGUUCCCGGGCCUUGUACACACCGCCCGUCAAGUCAUGAAAGUGGGCAGCACCCGAAGCCGGUGGCCUAACCCCUUGUGGGAUGGAGCCGUCUAAGGUGAGGCUCGUGAUUGGGACUAAGUCGUAACAAGGUAGCCGUACCGGAAGGUGCGGCUG
rnacentral:rRNA from 1 species